rnacentral:lncRNA from 1 species
AGGCUGACACCAACAAGAAUCGCAUUGACAUUGCCAAUACAAGAGCAAAGAAACUCAUUGACAGCUAAAACCCUGCUGUACUUCUUUACCUGUUAACUCAGUCUCGGGCUCCUGCUGAGUCUUUUCUUACUCAGUUUGAAAGACUGUGCGAGAAGGGCGGGAGGAGGAUCCCUCCUCCUUCCUUCCUUUCUGUCUUUUGGGGUAGGUUCUUGCUCAGGCGUUCUUACAGUCUUUCUCAGUUUACUCUUGUAGGCUGCUUUCUGUACAUCACUUAGUCUCUCCAUCUCGUCAUUUAGCUUUUGUGUUCAAGACUUGGAAGCAUUGCCAAAGAGCCAUGAAGGGAGGCAGCUGGAUAAGUAGCUUUUGCCAUUAUUGGUUGGUUGGCUUGGUUUUGGUUUGGUUUUGGUUUUAUGGUAAAGAGCAAGAGGAAGGAAGAAGAAAUGAAGUGACUCAUUAAAGAAACUACAGGUCACAAAAAACCCUCAGUGCUUGGGGUAGGAGCUUUCACACGUGUUUUGUUCUACACUGUUUUUCAGCUUCUGCUCCAAAGAGAGUACAGUGAGUUUUCCAGAAGUGAGCUUCACUCCUAAAUCCUUAGUGAUUUGGGUAUAAACGUAGGCUCUUGGGUCCCGUUUCAUAUUGCACAUGCAGGAACACUAUAUAAACGAGUGCCUUUUAUUCUCAUACAGUAAGUCAUAGCAUGGUCCCAUUGCAGGCCUGUUAACUUCAUGGAGUUGUCAGUAGCCUUGAAAAGAUGUACAUAUAUAUGUGAAAUCGGAGACUUCCUCACUAAAGCAGGGUGUAUCAUGUGAAUUCAGAUUUACCUCAUAAGAAUUAUGUUUAGAUAUGAAAAAGACUUGUUUUGAUCUCAGGUAGAAAAAUAGAUUGCUUUGAGUUUUGUAUAGUUUUAGACAUUUAAAAAGUUAUAAUCUGUUACUAAAAGUUGUUUGGAAAAUUAUGCCUUUGAUUAAUUAUUGAUGACCACACUGCCAUUCUCUCUGCCUUACACACAGAAUCAAGUUUGUGUAGACCCUGAAGUGUUAGGAAAGCUGAACUGGUAUUUGUCACCUUUGUUUAAAAAUCAGCAUGUACAAUUGCUGAUUGUAGAUCGCAAUUAGCGCAAAGUAGAUCGGUUUGACCAGUAACCAUUGCUUGAUUCUUACAAUUAAAUUUUGUAAUUAAUGGUAUUGUUCUUCAAAUAGGUGAUGUUUCUAUGACUUAUUUGUAGGGGCAAUCAUUUUACCAGCUUUUGUUAACAUUAGAUAAAGCAAAUGUCCAUACGUCAUGCACUCCAAUAGAAAGUUGCAUUAGCUCUUCUCUAAUUUUCACCAGAAGUGUGUACAGGACUUCCUACGGUUUGCUUUGAGUUCAUUCUAGACAUUACUUGUCUUAGUCGUUUGAACUUAAAUACACUACUGAGUAUUUCUGAGUGAGAAUUCAAGUCAUGUAUUGAAGAAGAUGCAUCUAGCAUAGCAACAUUCAGAGGGUGAAGAGGACAGUGUGCAAAACAAAGCAGUGUUCCAUGCCAGAGUGAAGAGCUUAUUGGGUACAGAUACCUAAUGUAUGAAGUAUGGCUGAGUGUAAAACACUGGACUGUGCUGUGCCCAAAAGUGCUUCCCUUAGUCAUUUAAAAACAACAUGCUGAUUUGUCCAAAGGAACAGUACCAAAAGGUAGUAUCCAAGGUAUAUUUGGCUAGAAUAUGCACUAAAGCAACCCUUUGCUCUUGCUGGCUGGUGUGAAUGCAUGCUUAUUUCUUGCCUUAAUUUCUAUAUCUGUAAAUGGGAAUUAAUAAAUCCUGUUUUAUAAACUAAUUUACAGACCAGUAAUGCCCAGAAAUUUCUUAGAAUAUGCCAGGCUCACAGGCCACAUGGGUAAUCCCAAUGUUUGGGAACCUGAGGCACAAUCAAUCUACCCAAUGAGUUUGUGGGCUAGCCUAGAGUAAAUUGUGUCCAGAAACAGCUUCUACCCCACCCCCCCAAAAUCAACCAACAAAACUAUUUUUUUAAGAUUUAUUUAUUAUGUAUAUAAGUACACUGUAGCUGUCUUCAAAUGUAGCUGUCUUCAGACGCACCAGAAGAGGGCACCAGAUCUUAUUACACAGAUGGUUGUGAGCCACCAUGUGGUUGCUGGGAAUUGCACUCAGGACCUCUGGAAGAGCAGUCAGUGCUCUUAACUGCUGAGCCAUCUCUGCAGCCCCCAACAAAACUCUUGAAAGAGUGCCUAUUAGGUGUAACUCUCCUAAAUGAUAGCUAUUUUCUCUAGAAUGGAGGGAGCUCUUGUUUUUUUUUUUUUUUCUUUUUUUCGGAGCUGGGGACCGAACCCAGGGCCUUGCGCUUCCUAGGUAAGCGCUCUACCACUGAGCUAAAUCCCCAGCCCCGGGAGCUCUUUUUGGUCAAAGACAACAUAGCUCCUCUCCCGACCCAAAGAAAAAAGCAUGGAAGCAGAUACCAAGCACCUUUGUCUGCGGAGCCACCAUACCCACUGUUGCUGUUAUUUUUGAGAUACAAUAGCAUAACACAAGCUGGAGUCACCUGGGAUUGGUUUUGGUGUGUUUUCUAAUAUCGUGACCUUGUAUAUAAUACCUAUGACUACAAAUAAGAGCUAGCAUCUUGUACUGAACUUUUGGUUGGUUGGUUGGUUGGUUG